GGAAGAAAGGGCCAUAUUGCUGUGCUGCAUGGAACCAUCUCUCUGCCCAAGGAAAGCAGCAAACAUCACGAAGCUGCCUUCUGCAUGCCAAGCACGGAGCUGGAACUCUUCAGCUGGUGAAUGACCUAUCCUUUAUAUUGCAAAUUUCAGCGUCCACUGUUUCCCAUCUUUGUGCAGUUCAACUUCUUUUAUGGGUGCAGAAUGUUUUGGUUGAUUCUGCCGUCAGACUUGAUGCUCCAGAAUUGGCUGUCUUCAUUUUGAUCGAGCGCCAGGCCCAGUUUAGAACCAGAGGUUACGAGACUUCCGACGAUGGUCAAGCAGCAAUCCUCUGCGAUCUGUUCCAAGGAAAAACAAAACCUGACGUCUUAGUAAAGACAUGACCGUCUAAAAUGCACAGCCAGUCACUUGCCUGUUGCAAUGUACAGAUGACUACCCUCUGACUCCUAAUCUCCCAUCUUAUAUGAGACAUAUUUCAAAUCAUAGGAAAGAUAACUGGUGUCUUUUUCCUUUGGCCAAUUCCAGGAGUUAUAAGGUUCUUCUAUGUUUAACAAUUUUCGUUUUUGUUUUUUAUCAUCAACUUAAUUCUUAGCACCAACAGCACCAUAUAUCAAUAACAGAAAUGAGGAAUAUUUUGAAACUGUUAAGAGAAGGGUCCUUAAUUCUUCAGGCACCUAAGGUGGCAGAGUAGAAAGAGUGCUAGUCCUGGAAUCAGGAAGAUGAGUUCAAAUCCUGUCUCAGAUACUUACCCAUCACUAGGUGACCCUGGGCAAGUCACUUAACCUGUAUCUGCCUCAGUUUCCUUAUCCAUAAAAUGGGGAUAAUAAUAGCACCUACCUCUGAAGGUAGAGGACAAAAUAAGAUUAUUUGUAAAGCAUUUUGAAAAUGUUAAAGCAGUAUGUAAAUGCUAUUAUCAUAAUUCCUUAGCCUCUCAUCCAUUAAGAAAGCCUAGUUGACCUCUUCACUUUAUUAGUCACGGAGGGACAGAAAGAAUCUUCAUAUGAAACCUCCACCCUCUGCUAGUCAACUCGCCCACCUUGCCCAAAAGAAUGAAAUGUUUAAUGGUUCCACCAUUAUAUUAGUCUCUCUAAUUUUAACAGCAGAAUAGCUAAUAAACUAUUUCACCACUGAAAAAAAGUAAAAUAUGAUUAUUAGUAUCUCUUGCCCUUCUUCCAAUAGAGUUCUAAAAGAAGCCCAGUAAAAAAGGAAAACUAUCUCUGGGGUGAUACAAGACAAUGAUUUUAUUGGACUACAUCUGCGCCAAAUGCAUUAUUCACAGAUACUUUCAAAAGCUGUUAUUCUAAACUCAUUCUAAUAAAAAUUUAAUGACAAUGCCACAUACUCUUUUUGACAAUGCCACAUGGAGUUCUGUAGCCUAUGCUUCUAGGCUGUAUGCUUCCUGUACUGACGUCUUGUCUUCCUCUGGUGGCCAGCUUUGGUUCUCAAAGCCUGGAUUCUCCAAGACCAUCUUGGUACAGUAUAAACUUUGUUAAAUUCAACAAAACCUUAAAGGCUCCAUGUUAUGGAACCAGUAACAAACUGCAUGUUUUCUGUCUGUUAAGGACCAGACCACCUAUAUUCAGAGAGGCCCUUCACCAGUAGGCAUUUUUCUUUCUUUCUUUUAUUUUUUUUUUUUGCACGGGGCAAUAGGGGUUAAGUGACUUGCCCAGGGUCACACAGCUAGUAAGUGUCAAGUG